rnacentral:rRNA from 1 species
AGUCACUGACAUUAGAUACCCGGUAGUCCCAGCCGUAAACAAUGUGCGUUAGGUGUGUCGGUAACCACGUGUUACUGAUGCGCCGAAGAGAAAUCGUGAAACGCACCACCUGGGAAGUACGGUCGCAAGGCUGAAACUUAAAGGAAUUGGCGGGGAGCACCACAACAGGUGGAGCCUGCGGUUUAAUUGGAUUCAACGCCGGACAUCUCACCGGAUAAGACAGCUGAAUGAUUGUCAAUCUGAAGGUUUUACAUGACUAGCUG